rnacentral:rRNA from 1 species
CCAGACUCCUACGGGAGGCAGCAGUGAGGAAUAUUGGUCAAUGGGCGCGAGCCUGAACCAGCCAAGUAGCGUGAAGGAUGACUGCCCUACGGGUUGUAAACUUCUUUUAUAAAGGAAUAAAGUGAGGCACGUGUGCCCUUUUGUAUGUACUUUAUGAAUAAGGAUCGGCUAACUCCGUGCCAGCAGCCGCGGUAAUACGGAGGAUGCGAGCGUUAUCCGGGUUUAUUGGGUUUAAAGGGUGCGCAGGCGGCGGUGAAGGCCAGGGGGGACAGCCGGGGCCCCACCCCCGCGCCGCCGUUGAAACUGGCAGUCUCGAGUUGGAGAGAAGUAUGCGGAAUGCGCGGUGUAGCGGUGAAAUGCAUAGAUAUCGCGCAGAACUCCGAUUGCGAAGGCAGCAUGCCGGCUCCACACUGACGCUGAGGCACGAAAGCGUGGGUAUCGAACAGGAUUAGAUACCCCAGUAU